UACUUAUACUGCGUUGGCAUACCACGUUUGAAACAUAGGAGAAUUCGUUGCUUUAGGUUCGUAUGGGUUUACGAGUCAAAAAACGUUGACAUGACUGAAUGGAAUCAUCGUUCGAACAGAUGAAACUUAAGGAAUGUAUGAUGUCACUGAAGCUGAAAUAUUCGUCAGGCUCUGAAGUUGGUGACUUUAUCCCAAUUUCUCUUCAAAGAUACGGUUGCCUGUUGUGCUGCGACUGCCCUCGAGCCUGAUGGUCCUGGUUGUGUGUUAUAUCAUACGGAUGCUGAGUUCCGCCCGACUGAU